GUGGAAUUACCGAUCUCUGCAAAUCGGUCUUUAUCUACUGAUUUCAGUCGUUUUCUUCCACCGGCACAUAUUCCAGCGGAGCUUGACGGCCGGGGGGAGAUCAAUGACCGACGAGAACAAGAGAGAGAGGAGAAAGAGAGAGCGAGUGAUAAUAGAGAGAGAGAGAGAGAUAUGAGAAAAUAUUUAAUUUUUUAAGUUAAAAUUGUAUUUUUGUAUGACCAAAUUUUAAAGUCAUUUUUUUACCUAACGAUAUUGUUUGUUUUUUUUUUUUUUUUUUUUAAUUUCUUCUCCUAUAAAUACCCCUCCUACCGUAAUCAACUUCAUUCUUCCAUACUCCUAUCUCCUAUCUCGUGUAUCUCUCAAGCAGCUUGGUGAUGACAAGACUACCAAUGACUACAAAAUCGAAGACAAUCGGACUUAUGAUUGAAAGAGUACAAAUC
rnacentral:lncRNA from 1 species